GCGCUCGCUAGCCUCAGUUGGCUAGAGCACCUCGCUUACACCGAGGGGGUCGCCCGUUCGAGUCGGGCCGCGCCCA
rnacentral:tRNA from 1 species